rnacentral:rRNA from 1 species
GACGAACGCUGGCGGCGUGCUUAACACAUGCAAGUCGAACGGAAAGGCCCUGCUUUUGUGGGGUGCUCGAGUGGCGAACGGGUGAGUAACACGUGAGUAACCUGCCCUUGACUUUGGGAUAACUUCAGGAAACUGGGGCUAAUACCGGAUAGGAGCUCCUGCUGCAUGGUGGUGGUUGGAAAGUUUCGGCGGUUGGGGAUGGACUCGCGGCUUAUCAGCUUGUUGGUGGGGUAGUGGCUUACCCAGGCUUUGACGGGUAGCCGGCCUGAGAGGGUGAUCGGCCACACUGGAACUGAGACGCGGUACAGACGCCUACGGGAGGCAGAAGUAGGGAAUCGUCCGCAAUGGGCGAAAGCCUGACGGAGCAACGCCGCGUGAGUGACGAAGGUGUGCGGAUCGUAAAACUGUGUGAUUAGGGAAGAACAAAGGUGUAAGUAACUAUGCACGUCUUGACGGUAACUAAUCAGAAAGCCACGGCUAACUACGUG